rnacentral:tRNA from 1 species
GGGCGUAUGGCGCAGUGGUCGCGCGCUUCGUUCACACCGAAGAGGUCACUGGUUCGAACCCAGUUACGCCCA